AGUGAACGCUGGCGGUAGGCCUAACACAUGCAAGUCGAACGGCAGCACAGUAAGAGCUUGCUCUUACGGGUGGCGAGUGGCGGACGGGUGAGGAAUACAUCGGAAUCUACUUUUUCGUGGGGGAUAACGUAGCGAAACUUACGCUAAUACCGCAUACGACCUACGGGUGAAAGCAGGGGAUCUUCGGACCUUGCGCGAUUGAAUGAGCCGAUGUCGGAUUAGCUAGUUGGCGGGGUAAAGGCCCACCAAGGCGACGAUCCGUAGCUGAUCUGAGAGGAUGAUCAGCCACACUGGAACUGAGACACGGUCCAGACUCCUACGGGAGGCAGCAGUGGGGAAUAUUGGACAAUGGGCGCAAGCCUGAUCCAGCCAUACCGCGUGGGUGAAGAAGGCCUUCGGGUUGUAAAGCCCUUUUGUUGGGAAAGAAAAGCAGCAGGUUAAUACCCCGCUGUUCUGACGGUACCCAAAGAAUAAGCACCGGCUAACUUCGUG
rnacentral:rRNA from 1 species